AUUUAGCCAAGAGAAAGGGAAGGAGGUGAAAUUCUGAACCGAGACUUUUUUUUUUUUUUUUUUUUGUCAUAAAACUUGGUGGGAUAGGCGAGACAGGUAUCAUUGCUAUUUUACAGAUGAGGAAGUUGAGAUUUGACCCUAGAAACCUGUAGAGGCAGACUUUGCAGCAGAUUCUUUGGAGAAACACUGGAAUGACCAGGCAUGUGAGCUGGGAUAUUAUUUCUGGCUGACAGUGAAACCUCGUCGACCUGAGAAAUUAACAAUAAUUGAGAAUAUUCGUAGUUUGUAACUAAUAGUUUUAAAACUAAUAGUGGCUGGAACGAAGUUUGCUGUUUAUGUCUUGCAAUCUCUCCAAUUACUUUCAGGCGAUAAACUUAUUUUUAUAGGCAUAGAGGAACUUCAGUGUGACUGUGCUGCCAACCACUCGGCUCUUGGUGAGAUGCAAUAUCAAAUAGUAUAGAUCUUUCACUUAGGAUAGAGUUUUGUCUGGAUAAGCCCAUCGUAAAUCAGAAAUACGUUAACACACCUAACCUAGGAACAUCAAGGCUUAAACCAGCUUACCUUAAAUGUGUUCAGAAUACUUAAAUUAGCCUACAGUUGGAUAAAAUCAUCUAAUACAAAGCCUAGUUUCUAAUAAAGUGUUGAAUAUCUUAUGUACUUUAUUGAAUAUUGUAUUGAAAGUGAGAGACAGAAUAGUUGAAUGGGUGCAGAAUGGUUAUGAGUUGUUUACUGGACUGCUACCUGGUAGCUGUGGUGGUUGCCACUGUCUAGCAUGAGGGAGUAUCCUGCUGCGUGUUCCUAGUCUGGGAAAAGGUCAAAAUUUAAAAGUUAGAAUAUGUUUUCUACUGAAUGUGUAAUCACUUUUGAACCAUCAGGAAAUCCUAAGGGGAACCAUUGUACAUCCAGGACCAUCUGUAGUAGAAAGCAGGAACUAACUCCAAAGUACUCAGAUUCAAAUUCUGACUCUGUCCUUGACUUGUUCUGUGACCCUGACCAAUAUAGCCUAUAUGCUUCACUUGUUCUGUGACCCUGACCAAUAUAGCCUAUAAGCUUCACUUUGCUCAUCUGCAAAAUAGCAAUGGUAAACCUAUUUAUCAUGAGGUACCUCGAAACUCCUGUUAGUACAUGUAAAAUUCUUAGAACACUGCCUGGCUUGGACUCAGCCACGAGUACAGUGUUCACAUACUAUUGUUUUGUUUCAUUGGCUUUAGAGUGAUAGGCAAUGUAACCCCUAUACAGGCUUCAUUCUUCUUUUCUCUCCUCUCAAGUGAGACAUCGUGGUCUCAAUUGGUACCACUUGCCAUCUGCACACUUAGUAAGUUACUUAUAUUAUUUGUGAGGGCCUCCUGUGUCCCAAGAAUUCAAGUACUGGAUAAACAGGAUGGACAAGAUCCUGUCCUGUAAGGAAUCUAUAUUCUCUUUGGAGGAGAAAAACAAAAGUUAUAUAAUUAAAUAUAACAAUUUCACGUACUAAAUACUAUCUGAAAAUGAGGAGGCUAGUUUAAUAGAGCUAGUUGCAGGAAAAGGUCACUUUGUAGAGGUGACAUUUGAGUUAAGUAAAUUUUUCAUGAUAAGAAGAAGCAGCCAUCGUAUCAUCUAUAGGAAAAGUGUUUCAAGCAGAAGGAGCAACAAGAGGCAAGACUGAUAUAGGAUGAGCUUGACGCUCUCUGGAGACAGGAUAUGUUAAGCAGGAGGGCAGUGAACAGAACUUGUGUGCACAGCCUCAGACAGCGGAUUGAUUUUCAAAAGAGGCAAGAGGAUUACAAGGUACAGGCCAUUUAAGUUCUUUGGCAACACAUAUUCAUGUUUACAGUAUAGCUUCACAUCAGAACUCCUGGAAGUUAAGUUUAUCAUUUAAAUCCUUGGGUUCUUUUCUUGGGCAUUUGCUAAUUUUCCUUUCGGAAAGGAAAUAAGCCUUUAUUGAAAUAGUCUGUCCUUUCAUGAGAAGCAGCUUGGUAGUGGAAAAAGAAUGGACUUUAUCUUCAGACAAACUUCAGCUCAAAUGGACUUUGGGUGAGGGUGGGGAGCAACAAAGCAGGCAUGGGGAUGGAGAACCCUAUCCUGCUACACACCAUGGAUGCCCAUAGACUGGGACCUGGAGCAGUGGUUCUGAGACUCACGAGGAGAUGAUGGAACUGGCCAAGCUCUUAUCUACAGUGAGUGUCCUUUCUGCCUUUUAAAAUUCUUGGAUUUCAUUUCUGGGGAUUUCCAGUAAUAUACAUAUUUAGGCAUAGAAAGAUCAUGUCUUAUUUCUGUGGAGUCAUUUAUAAUAAUAUGAACUAAUAUUCAGACCAGCUUAUGAGAUAAUAGAAAUAUGACCAGAAGCUAAAAAGCAUUAGGAGCAUCUAAUAAAUAUAAUGCUAUUUUGUGGCAGCAAUAUUAUUUUAAAUACAAAUUCUAUUGAGAGUGGAAAAUGAAGAUUUAUUAAUAUUUAUAAAUCCAUUUAAGCUGCCCAGAUAAAUGGAUAAUCUAAAUAGUUAUAGUUAGGAAGGCUGAAGUGGGUUUGAGCUUGUUGACAUAAAGCCCUCAUUCCUUGGCCUCUUUUCUCAGCAUUUUGCAGGCAAACACUGGCUCAUUUGAAGUAUUGACCUUCAAGGUUUCAAAAAAAAGAGCUGAGGUAUAUAUAAGCAGAAGGUGUGUUUCUUAAAAUUUGUUUCAAUUUUGACACUCAGAAGAAAAAGUCAUUAAAUUGAUGGUCAUGCAAGAAAUUCCCCUGUGAAUUGUAUAUCAUGGGGGAGGGAGGGGUUGAGAAUGCAGGCUCUGGAGCCAAACUCAGAACCACUUGCUAGGUGUGUGGCCUUGGGUAGGUCACUUCACCUCUCUGUUGGCUUCAGUGUCCCAUCUUGUAAUGGCUUAGAUAUCUGAAUGGCAAUGUGCCAAGUGGCACAGGCCUUUCCUUCCAAAUACCUUAUUGAUUAUGAAUGCUUAACAUAUGCAAAGUGUGUCAGUAUUGCUUUAUUUACCUUAUCUACAAGCAGCUAUUAACCACUAUGCUUUGCUGAAAUAAGGAGAUUUACUGGAAAACCAGUAGACAUUAAUAGAAUAGAAAAGAGGCAGGAGGCUGAGGUUAGGAAAAAGGCAGGAGUCAAGGAUGCUAUGAGCAGGCAGUAAGAGCUAUGCCUGU